GGUGGCGACCCUUGCGACUGCAAGCUGUGAACCUGGUCAGGCCUUAACUGGAGCAGCCAUAAACGGUGCCGCUUUGUGUGAGGGUCGCCUCCAAC
rnacentral:SRP_RNA from 1 species